UGGGGAAUAUUGGACAAUGGGGGGAACCCUGAUCCAGCCAUGCCGCGUGUGUGAAGAAGGCCUUAUGGUUGUAAAGCACUUUAAGCGAGGAGGAGGGUACUGGUAUUAAUACUACCAGCUACUGGACGUUACUCGCAGAAUAAGCACCGGCUAACUCUGUGCCAGCAGCCGCGGUAAUACAGAGGGUGCGAGCGUUAAUCGGAUUUACUGGGCGUAAAGCGUGCGUAGGCGGCUAAUUGAGUCGGAUGUGAAAUCCCCGAGCUUAACUUGGGAAUUGCAUUCGAUACUGGUUAGCUAGAGUGUGGGAGAGGAUGGUAGAAUUCCAGGUGUAGGGGUGAAAUGCGUAGAGAUCUGGAGGAAUACCGAUGGCGAAGGCAGCCAUCUGGCCUAACACUGACGCUGAGGUACGAAAGCAUGGGGAGCAAACAGG
rnacentral:rRNA from 1 species